GACGUAGGGCGCGAGCGUUGUCCGGAUUUAUUGGGCGUAAAGAGCUCGUAGGCGGCUUGUCGCGUCGUUCGUGAAAACUCACAGCUCAACUGUGAGCUUGCGGUCGAUACGGGCAGGCUAGAGUUCGGUAGGGGAGACUGGAAUUCCUGGUGUAGCGGUGAAAUGCGCAGAUAUCAGGAGGAACACCGGUGGCGAAAGCGGCUUCCUGGUCCAGCACCGACGUUCAGGCACGAAAGCGUGGGGAGCAAACAGG
rnacentral:rRNA from 1 species